GGUUAAGCGACUAAGCGUACACGGUGGAUGCCCUGGCAGUCAGAGGCGAUGAAGGACGUGCUAAUCUGCGAUAAGCGUCGGUAAGGUGAUAUGAACCGUUAUAACCGGCGAUUUCCGAAUGGGGAAACCCAGUGUGUUUCGACACACUAUCAUUAACUGAAUCCAUAGGUUAAUGAGGCGAACCGGGGGAACUGAAACAUCUAAGUACCCCGAGGAAAAGAAAUCAACCGAGAUUCCCCCAGUAGCGGCGAGCGAACGGGGAGCAGCCCAGAGCCUGAAUCAGUGUGUGUGUUAGUGGAAGCGUCUGGAAAGGCGCGCGAUACAGGGUGACAGCCCCGUACACAAAAAUGCACAUGCUGUGAGCUCGAUGAGUAGGGCGGGACACGUGGUAUCCUGUCUGAAUAUGGGGGACCAUCCUCCAAGGCUAAAUACUCCUGACUGACCGAUAGUGAACCAGUACCGUGAGGGAAAGGCGAAAAGAACCCCGGCGAGGGGAGUGAAAAAGAACCUGAAACCGUGUACGUACAAGCAGUGGGAGCACGCUUAGGCGUGUGACUGCGUACCUUUUGUAUAAUGGGUCAGCGACUUAUAUUCUGUAGCAAGGUUAACCGAAUAGGGGAGCCGAAGGGAAACCGAGUCUUAACUGGGCGUUAAGUUGCAGGGUAUAGACCCGAAACCCGGUGAUCUAGCCAUGGGCAGGUUGAAGGUUGGGUAACACUAACUGGAGGACCGAACCGACUAAUGUUGAAAAAUUAGCGGAUGACUUGUGGCUGGGGGUGAAAGGCCAAUCAAACCGGGAGAUAGCUGGUUCUCCCCGAAAGCUAUUUAGGUAGCGCCUCGUGAAUUCAUCUCCGGGGGUAGAGCACUGUUUCGGCAAGGGGGUCAUCCCGACUUACCAACCCGAUGCAAACUGCGAAUACCGGAGAAUGUUAUCACGGGAGACACACGGCGGGUGCUAACGUCCGUCGUGAAGAGGGAAACAACCCAGACCGCCAGCUAAGGUCCCAAAGUCAUGGUUAAGUGGGAAACGAUGUGGGAAGGCCCAGACAGCCAGGAUGUUGGCUUAGAAGCAGCCAUCAUUUAAAGAAAGCGUAAUAGCUCACUGGUCGAGUCGGCCUGCGCGGAAGAUGUAACGGGGCUAAACCAUGCACCGAAGCUGCGGCAGCGACACUAUGUGUUGUUGGGUAGGGGAGCGUUCUGUAAGCCUGUGAAGGUGUGCUGUGAGGCAUGCUGGAGGUAUCAGAAGUGCGAAUGCUGACAUAAGUAACGAUAAAGCGGGUGAAAAGCCCGCUCGCCGGAAGACCAAGGGUUCCUGUCCAACGUUAAUCGGGGCAGGGUGAGUCGACCCCUAAGGCGAGGCCGAAAGGCGUAGUCGAUGGGAAACAGGUUAAUAUUCCUGUACUUGGUGUUACUGCGAAGGGGGGACGGAGAAGGCUAUGUUGGCCGGGCGACGGUUGUCCCGGUUUAAGCGUGUAGGCUGGUUUUCCAGGCAAAUCCGGAAAAUCAAGGCUGAGGCGUGAUGACGAGGCACUACGGUGCUGAAGCAACAAAUGCCCUGCUUCCAGGAAAAGCCUCUAAGCAUCAGGUAACAUCAAAUCGUACCCCAAACCGACACAGGUGGUCAGGUAGAGAAUACCAAGGCGCUUGAGAGAACUCGGGUGAAGGAACUAGGCAAAAUGGUGCCGUAACUUCGGGAGAAGGCACGCUGAUAUGUAGGUGAGGUCCCUCGCGGAUGGAGCUGAAAUCAGUCGAAGAUACCAGCUGGCUGCAACUGUUUAUUAAAAACACAGCACUGUGCAAACACGAAAGUGGACGUAUACGGUGUGACGCCUGCCCGGUGCCGGAAGGUUAAUUGAUGGGGUUAGCGCAAGCGAAGCUCUUGAUCGAAGCCCCGGUAAACGGCGGCCGUAACUAUAACGGUCCUAAGGUAGCGAAAUUCCUUGUCGGGUAAGUUCCGACCUGCACGAAUGGCGUAAUGAUGGCCAGGCUGUCUCCACCCGAGACUCAGUGAAAUUGAACUCGCUGUGAAGAUGCAGUGUACCCGCGGCAAGACGGAAAGACCCCGUGAACCUUUACUAUAGCUUGACACUGAACAUUGAGCCUUGAUGUGUAGGAUAGGUGGGAGGCUUAGAAGUGUGGACGCCAGUCUGCAUGGAGCCGACCUUGAAAUACCACCCUUUAAUGUUUGAUGUUCUAACGUUGACCCGUAAUCCGGGUUGCGGACAGUGUCUGGUGGGUAGUUUGACUGGGGCGGUCUCCUCCUAAAGAGUAACGGAGGAGCACGAAGGUUGGCUAAUCCUGGUCGGACAUCAGGAGGUUAGUGCAAUGGCAUAAGCCAGCUUGACUGCGAGCGUGACGGCGCGAGCAGGUGCGAAAGCAGGUCAUAGUGAUCCGGUGGUUCUGAAUGGAAGGGCCAUCGCUCAACGGAUAAAAGGUACUCCGGGGAUAACAGGCUGAUACCGCCCAAGAGUUCAUAUCGACGGCGGUGUUUGGCACCUCGAUGUCGGCUCAUCACAUCCUGGGGCUGAAGUAGGUCCCAAGGGUAUGGCUGUUCGCCAUUUAAAGUGGUACGCGAGCUGGGUUUAGAACGUCGUGAGACAGUUCGGUCCCUAUCUGCCGUGGGCGCUGGAGAACUGAGGGGGGCUGCUCCUAGUACGAGAGGACCGGAGUGGACGCAUCACUGGUGUUCGGGUUGUCAUGCCAAUGGCACUGCCCGGUAGCUAAAUGCGGAAGAGAUAAGUGCUGAAAGCAUCUAAGCACGAAACUUGCCCCGAGAUGAGUUCUCCCUGACCCUUUAAGGGUCCUGAAGGAACGUUGAAGACGACGACGUUGAUAGGCCGGGUGUGUAAGCGCAGCGAUGCGUUGAGCUAACCGGUACUAAUGAACCGUGAGGCUUAACCUU
rnacentral:rRNA from 1 species